UUUGUUGCUGCUCUUUGAUCCAAGUUCUUCUGCUCCUACUUGGUUUCCCUCUAUCAUCACCUCUUCUUCACUAUCUUUCAUUUAAUGCAGAAGGCCGAAAAAGCUUUUUUAUGCACGAAAAUUAGGGUUUGAUAAAUCAGAAACGAAGGAAUCAGUGGGAAGAGAGUUUUGAGGACAAUCAGAAAUAAUUAGGUGUUAAGGGUUUUGAGUGGAAAUUGAUUUUUGAUUUGAAACCCAAGCUAGAAAAGAGAGAGAGUGAGAGGUUGAAGGGGAAAUCAAUAUUAAAGAAGAGGCAGAGAGAGGUUCAUAAAUAGAGAAGAGAAGAAGGUUUUGGGGGGAUUUGAAAUUUGAAAGAUGGAAAAAGUACUGUUUGUGCGGGAAACAUUUGACUUAAAAAUUGUUUUGGAGAGAAAAACUCUGAAAAUAAACAAAACUUCUUUAUUCUCUAUUUCUUAUGUUUCUC
rnacentral:lncRNA from 1 species